rnacentral:misc_RNA from 1 species
AAGUCGUAACAAGGUUUCCGUAGGUGAACCUGCGGAAGGAUCAUUAUGGGUUUUGGUAUGAGUGAUUGUGAAUCGUGUGAGAGCGUAAUUGAUUGGAUCGCUGGGGUGAUUGAUUGAUUACUGGGGCACACAAGUAACAAGAGCAAUUAUGGAGGAAAAAGAGUGCAAGUGCAGGGGUGGAGUGAAGCAGGGGUGCAUUUAUGCACACAAUGCAUACACGACACAACAACACACAACGCACAAACAUAACAACAAACAUACAACUUUUAACAAUGGAUCUCUAGGCUCUU